AUGAGUUUAUUCCAUGUUUUUGGGUUCGGUUUAAAGGUGGGGCAUCUGCUUUGGAUGCUAUGUUGCUGGAUUGUAUCUGUAAUUUCCAUGAACUGGUACCUCACUGGUGGGAUUGUGACAGACACCAAGGUAGGUUUGCUUGGUGAAGCUGCCAAUAUGUGCCUCAAAUGGUGGGAGAAAAUCCCAAUGAACAUCAGCAAGAUCCGCCACCAUUACUACCAGUAUAUCGGGUCGAAGAGAGUCCGAAAAACGUGGUGGAGGAGGCUUUUGUUUUCGUGGGUGGUUGGGUGGACAAUUGGGAGCCUCUGGAUCUUGUGGUACAUGAGCUCACAGGCCAGUGAGAAGAGGAAGGAGACUCUUGCAAGUAUGUGUGAUGAAAGGGCGAGGAUGUUGCAGGAUCAGUUUAAUGUCAGCAUGAACCAUAUCCAGGCCAUGUCGAUACUGAUCUCAACAUUCCACCACGGAAAGUAUCCAUCGGCCAUUGAUCAGAAAACUUUUGCGCGGUACACUGAAAGAACUGCUUUCGAGAGACCCCUCACAAGUGGCGUGGCAUAUGCUGUAAGGGUGCUCCACUCGGAAAAGGAACAAUUUGAGAAGCAACAGGGCUGGACUAUCAAGAGAAUGGAUACCCUCGAACAGAACCAGGUUCAUAAGAAUGACUAUGCCCCAGAGGCCUUGGAACCUUCCCCAGUUCAGGAAGAAUAUGCUCCUGUUAUCUUUGCACAGGAUACCGUUAGACAUGUCAUCUCUUUUGAUAUGCUGACCGGAAAGGAAGAUCGACAAAAUGUGUUGCGUGCAAGAGAAUCGGGAAAGGGGGUUCUUACUGCUCCUUUUCGGCUGCUUAAAACAAACAGACUUGGAGUAAUACUGACAUUUGCUGUCUACAAAAGAGAUCUGCCCUCAAAUGCAACUCCAAACGAAAGAAUUCAGGCGACUGAUGGGUAUCUCGGUGGAAUCUUUCAUAUUGAGUCACUAGUGGAGAAGUUACUUCAACAACUUGCUAGCAAGCAAACCAUCCUUGUGGACGUGUAUGAUACUACCAAUCAGUCGCAUCCAAUCAGCAUGUACGGUUCAAAUGUUUCAGAUGAUGGAUUGCAGCACGUCAGCUCCUUAAGUUUUGGAGAUCCCUUAAGGAACCAUGAGAUGCGGUGCAGGUUCAAACAGAAGCCACCUUGGCCGUGGUUAGCCAUUACAACUUCUAUUGGGAUCCUUGUGAUUGCAUUGCUUGUUGGCUACAUUUUCCAUGCAACUGUAAAUAGGAUUGCCAAAGUGGAGGAUGAUUUCCAUAAGAUGAUGGAACUCAAGAAACAGGCCGAGGCAGCUGAUGUUGCCAAAUCUCAGUUUCUUGCAACUGUUUCACACGAGAUCAGAACCCCAAUGAAUGGUGUCCUAGGAAUGUUACACAUGCUAAUGGACACAAACCUGGAUGUUACUCAACUAGAUUAUGUCCGAACUGCCCAGGGAAGUGGAAAAGCUCUAGUCUCACUUAUAAAUGAGGUAUUGGACCAGGCAAAGAUUGAAUCUGGUAAGCUGGAGCUUGAGGCAGUGCGUUUUGAUCUGCGAGCUAUUCUGGAUGAUGUUUUGUCACUCUUUUCGGGGAAGUCUCAACAAAAAGGAGUAGAGUUGGCAGUAUACAUCUCAGAUCAGGUUCCUGAUAUGCUUAUUGGUGAUCCCGGGCGGUUUAGGCAGAUUAUCACUAAUCUCAUGGGGAAUUCAAUCAAAUUCACAGAGAAAGGACACAUCUUUGUGACGGUUCAUCUUGUCGAGGAGCUGAUCGGCUCAAUAGGCGUUGAGACCGAAUCAUCAUCCAAGAACACUUUGAGUGGUUUCCCCGUUGCAGAUAAACACCACAGUUGGGGAGGAUUUAGGUGUUUCGGUCAAGAUGGAUCUGCAAGCCGUUUUUCAUCCUCAUCUGACCUCAUAAAUAUUAUUGUAUCUGUUGAGGACACAGGAGUAGGAAUCCCUCUAGAAGCCCAAUCUCGUGUUUUCACUCCUUUUAUGCAGGUGGGACCAUCCAUCUCACGUACACAUGGAGGCACAGGAAUUGGACUAAGCAUAAGCAAGUGUUUGGUUGGCCUCAUGAAAGGGGAAAUCGGGUUUGUUAGCAUUCCGAAGAUUGGUUCCACAUUUACAUUUACUGCUGUUUUCACCAAUGCCAGCUCCAGUUCAAAUGAGUUAACCAUCGAGCAAAUCAACAGCCAGUCAAAUGCUGCAUCCUCAGAAUUUAAUGGCAUGACGGCAUUAGUAGUGGACCAAAGACCUGUUAGGGCCAAGAUGUCAAGUUAUCAUAUCGAACGGCUUGGAAUUCGUGUUGAAGUAGUUUCUGAUUUGAAUCAGGGUUUAGCUAGCAUAAGCUGUGGGAGUACAACUAUCAAUAUGGUCCUUGUUGAACAGGAAGUCUGGAAUAAAGAUUCUGGAACUUCAGCUCUCUUUGUCAGUAAUUUACCGAAAAUUGAUGGACGGGUUCCUCCAAAACUGUUCAUUCUUGCCAAUUCUAGUAGCUCAUGCAGAAUAAGCUCUGCAACUUCAGGUGUCUCUACCCGAACCGUUAUCAUGAAACCGCUCAGGGCAAGCAUGCUCGCUGCCUCACUGCAAAGAGCCAUGGGAGUUGGUAACAAGGGAAAUCUCCGGAAUGGGGAGCUCCCAAGUUUGUCUCUCCGCAAUCUUCUGCUCAGAAGGAAAAUUCUUAUUAUAGAUGAUAAUAAUGUGAAUCUCAGAGUAGCUGCCGGUGCUUUGAAAAAGUAUGGGGCAGAGGUGAUCUGUGCAGACAGUGGUAAAAAGGCAAUCUCACUGCUUACGCCGCCCCACCAUUUUGAUGCCUGCUUCAUGGAUAUCCAGAUGCCAGAGAUGGAUGGGUUUGAAGCUACAAGGAGAAUACGUGACUUAGAACGCAAUAUCAGCAACAGUAUUCAAGCAUGGCAUGUACCCAUUCUGGCCAUGACUGCUGAUGUAAUUCAGGCAACCCAUGAGGAAUGCACAAAGUGCGGAAUGGAUGGAUAUGUUUCAAAACCAUUUGAAGCUGAACAGCUUUAUCGCGAAGUUUCACGUUUUUUCCAAUCUACUACAACUGGAAACGCGUAGUGAGGACUUGAAUUGAUGAGUUGCUGAUGGCAUCAGCACACCGUUUCUCCAAGUCACUGUAAAUGCAUUCAGAAUUUUCCUCGGAGAGAACAUUUCUUUUGUCACACAGAGUGUAUAUAGGAGCCCUGCUCGAUUACUUGUCAUCCAAGUCAGUUUUCUUUUCCCUUGUAUUUAUUUUUAUGAGCCAGAUAUCAAAGCCGGUUCAUUCUCCUUGUAAAGUUGAUCCAUCUCCAAGCUUCUUCCACUGAAAUCGGUAGCCUGGAAUUUUGAGUUCCGGUUGAAGCUCGAGAGAACCGACAACGUUGAAGCUCUGGGUUUGGAUUCCGAUUCGGAUUCUGAAUGUAAUAAUAGAAGCUCGCAUCGUUGAAGAUAUGUCACACUUCUUAGCAUCUGUGUAUUAUGUAGAGAUUGAUCUGGCAGGAAGGAGGAAGUUGUAGCUUUUCCUGGGAAGCUGUUGGAGGAUGCACAUUGUAAAUGACAACCUCAAUAAAGAUUUGUAGUCGGACAUUUUUUCUUUUUAGAUUUGAUGUAACCAUACAAUGUUGAUAAUUUGAGAAAGUCGAUUAUUAUUGUCCGAGUCUA